UACUAAGCAAAAGGAAAACUGUCAACAAAAAGAGGGGUCCUGCACACAAGUUUUCACCUCACAAGUUGAGUACCAGGCCACCAUACACGAGUUGAAGAGGCCAGCCUUCUUCCCUGUAUGAGGCGCAAAUUCCUGGUAGCUCCACCCCAUUCUUCCGGUGAAUAUGCGGGCCCUUAGUCUGAGCCACUCCAAAUUGAUUUAUUUCCUUUACUGCGCAUGUGUUAAGGGAUGGAAUUUUUUGCCGUGGGCAUGUUUAGACAAACCCCUUACACACAAUGACCCGGGUGGGUUGGAGAUUCUCCAGGGAUACUUCCCUAUUUGCCUAGGCAUUUGGCUGUCUCUGCUUCUAUCAUUUUCACAAAUAAAUAUGAUCAACUGUUGAAAAAGAAUUUGUCUCAAAAUAUUAUCAGUGUAAAAGCAUGACCUUCUCUUUGUGUCUUAACCACAACCAUGGAGCCUAGUUGUUCCAAAUAAAAGGCUAGUCUUGAAACACUGUCAAUAUGGUGAGAACUGAUCCUAGUUGGGGGCCAAAAACUUAGGCAUAAAUAGUGUUUUCCAUUACUUCAAAAUACCAUCAAUCACAAUAAAAUGAUCAGUUAUUUUGAAAAC
rnacentral:lncRNA from 10 species